GAACCAUCAGGUAGAGUAUGGAUAGGGAUUGUGCAGGCAUCUUCAGUCUACCCUUCACCUUCUUACAUGUGAUCCAUAACUGUAAUAAGUAUCAUGUUUAUUCAUAUUUUUCUCUCAGCUCUUCUGUUUGCUGAUAGUUUUUCAAUUGUGUCAGAAAACAAGGAGGAAAAAAUAACUUGCAGACAUGACUUCUCGGUUCCUUAAUUAUGGAACAUGACUGAAGUAGUGAUAAAAUAGAACAUAUCAGUCUUCAGUUUAGACCUGUUGAGCAUCUUCACCAGUAGGAAAAUAUUUUUGUAAUGUAUUAUGUUCCAUUAGUGAAUGUUCCAAACUGGCAGUGUGUUGAGGCUGUUUUUUUUUUGUUUAGAAGGAUUCCAAAUGCUUAGUGUUAGGCUGAGAACCACUGGAAAGAAAGACUUUGGGUUCAGAGCAGGUCAUAUCUGAACUGUGCAAGUGCCAGCUUCCCAGAGAUUUAUAGCAAGAGCUAAACUGUAAGGAGUGUCUUUAUUCUACAGGUGCCCUGAAUGCUCUGCUGCUGCUGCUUUGCUGAGACAGCAGGUUGUUAAUUAUAUUCUUUGGGGAAAGAAACCCCUUAAGGAUUCCCUUGUUGGGAAUGAAGGGAUUGCUACCAUAGUUAAGGUAAACACCAGUAAAUUGCUAGAGGUGGUACCCUCCCUUAUCUACAGGUAAAAGGCUAAAAGGGGAGCUGUUGUAUGCUACUUCCACUGAAAUACUAUAUUAAACAGCCUGCCUAUCUUAAUGUUCCCUGGGUGAAAAAGUAACUGUGAUAACUAAUUUUAUGUAGGGUAUUGAAAUUAAUGCAAUUUAAAAUGCCUUUAAAAAAAAGAUUCCGUUCCAGUUUCUUGAAGGAAAGUCAUCAAGGGUUAUUGUGGAAACUAACACUAUUUUUCCAUUGUUCUUUUCCUGUUAAUCAGUACAUACCACUACUAUUAGGUCACAGAAGUUCUCCUACAUCAGGAUUCAUUUGGUGGAAGAACUGGUAGGGAGCCAACCCUAGUUCCCAUGGUCUGAGCUGAUUGGCCUUCUGUCCAGUCUCAGCUAGCCCAAAGUGAACUUUACUUUGGUUUGUGCCAGCUGGCUCUGGUCUGUGGGAUGGAGAAUGUAGGACUGCAGGAGUAGUGUAUGAGUUUGCUAUUCUGUCUCUGUGCUUUUAGGGGAGAUUUUAGCCCCUUCUGUGCUUCAGGAGUGGGGCUGAAUCCAGUGAAUGCUAUGUCAAAUUAAGCCUCACUUUUACUGAAAACAGGAAUAUUAGAAACAUCUUUAUACGUGUGAAACAUCUUUGUAAGUGCCUGUUCUAAAAAAGUCUGUUUAUUGUAAAUGACACCCCUCUCUGUCAUGUAGAUGGAAAACAGUACAGGUAUAUUUAAUAUUUAUUGCUUAUUUUCCAAGGUUUGUAUAGUAAAGAAAUCUGCAGGUAGGAGAAUGAGGG